AUGGUUGUAGUUUUAUUUUGGCAAUAAAGGCGAAAACAUCUAGACAUCUAGAAAAAACGAAUCGUAUUUGAACGAAGAAUACUCUGCGAUUACUUUGAGGUGGAAAACUUUAUUGGAGGAAAAUAUAAGAUUUCUUUGUCAAAAUAUUUAAAAAGCAAAAUAUUUGAAAACCAAAACAGCAAUAAAUUUUAAGUCAUAGUAACAGAAAAAUAAUUGUCCGAAGUUAAACCCUACGUGUCCUCGAUAGAAAUCUCGCAAUACGUUUUGCCACUGCCUCAAAAUGGCGACAGCGACUGCGACAUAUGCAUCAUUCCAAGACAAAAUCCAAGGAUUCAUUAAUGGAUUAGGUGACAAAUAUGAGCCGUACGUUCGUACCCAUUUGGCCAAAGUGUAUAUGGUUUUGGGAGCGGCAACGGCAAGCACUGCCGUAGGUGCAAUGCUUCAGCUGUGGGGCGUUAUAAACCUCGGGCUUUUGGCAGCACUGGCUUCUUUGGGGCUUGUAUUGGGUCUACAUUUUUACAGAGAUAAUGGAAAAAAUUACUAUAAUCGCCUCAGCAUGUUAAUGGCAUUCGGUUUUUGUUCCGGCCAAACAUUGGGACCGCUGAUGCAGUAUACAAUAAGCAUAAACCCGUCGAUAAUUAUUACAGCACUAACAGGCACUGUGAUAACUUUUGUUUCGCUUUCAUUGGGAGCGUUACUAGCAGAACGUGGAAAAUAUCUUUAUUUGGGCGGAUUGCUAGUCAGUGUUAUCAACACCAUGGCAAUAUUAAGUCUUUUUAAUAUGUUUUUCCAAUCGUACUUUGUUCAGUUGACCCAGCUGUAUGUCGGAGUAUUUGUAAUGGCUGCUUUUGUAGUCUUUGAUACACAAAACAUUGUGGAAAAAUGUCGCGCAGGCAAUCGUGAUGUAGUGCAACAUGCUUUGGAUUUGUUCUUUGAUGUUUUAAGCAUGUUUAGGCGUUUAUUAAUUAUUUUAACGCAAAAGCUUAAGCAUCAUUUGCUUUCAUAAAUUACUGAUCUGCGAAGUUUAUUACUGAAGCUUUAUAAUUAAAAGAAGCAUUCAAGUCCAAUGAUGUGUUACCUAAAUAAAAAGUUCAACGCAGCACCUAAGGGAGGAACGUAAGCGUGAGGAACGUCGUAAAAGAAACUAAAUUGCUUAUCGACGAUUUCGGAAAAACUAAACCUGUUAAUAUUUUGUUAUAUUUCUUUUUUUUUUAAUAUACCCUCAUAUCUAAUAGCAUCUGUUCCGGAUUAAGUUUCUGAUGCAAAAUUAUUAAUCUAUGAGAUUUUUUGCUAAUUUAAUAUUAAGAUAUGUUAGAGAAACUUUGAUUUUUACCAGGAAAUGGGAGUAUUUAACAAGAACCAUAAUUUCAUUUAUUAGAAAUCCAUACAUUAAAAUGAAGCAAAAAUAAAUUGCAUAAUUUUUUUGGUAGUAUUAAAAAAGUA